AGUGAACGCUGGCGGUAGGCCUAACACAUGCCAGUCGAACGGCAGCACAGUAAGAGCUUGCUCUUACGGGUGGCGAGUGGCGGACGGGUGAGGAAUACAUCGGAAUCUACUUUUUCGUGGGGGAUAACGUAGGGAAACUUACGCUAAUACCGCAUACGACCUACGGGUGAAAGCAGGGGAUCUUCGGACCUUGCGCGAUUGAAUGAGCCGAUGUCGGAUUAGCUAGUUGGCGGGGUAAAGGCCCACCAAGGCGACGAUCCGUAGCUGGUCUGAGAGGAUGAUCAGGCACACUGGAAAUGGGACACGGUCCAGACUCCUACGGGAGGCAGCAGUGGGGAAUAUUGGACAAUGGGCGCAAGCCUGGUCCAGCCAUUCCGGGUGGGUUAAGAAGGGCUUCGGGUUGGUAAGCCCUUUUGUUGGGAAAGAAAAGCAGCAGGUUAAUACCCCGCUGUUCUGACGGUACCCAAAGAAUAAGCACCGGCUAACUUCGUG
rnacentral:rRNA from 1 species